UACGUAGGGUGCAAGCGUUGUCCGGAAUUAUUGGGCGUAAAGAGCUCGUAGGCGGCUUGUCGCGUCGGCUGUGAAAACCCGGGGUUCAACCCCGGGCCUGCAGUCGAUACGGGCAGGCUAGAGUCCGGUAGGGGAGACUGGAAUUCCUGGUGUAGCGGUGAAAUGCGCAGAUAUCAGGAGGAACACCGGUGGCGAAGGCGGGUCUCUGGGCCGGAACUGACGCUAAGGAGCGAAAGCGUGGGGAGCGAACAGG
rnacentral:rRNA from 1 species